UACGUAGGGGGCAAGCGUUGUCCGGAUUUAUUGGGCGUAAAGCGCACGUAGGCGGUUCGUUAUGUCGGAUGUGAAAGCCCCGGGCUUAACCCGGGAAGGGCAUCCGAAACUGGCGGGCUUGAGUACGGAAGAGGGUCUCGGAAUUCCCGGUGUAGAGGUGAAAUUCGUAGAUAUCGGGAGGAACACCAGUGGCGAAGGCGGAGACCUGGGCCGAUACUGACGCUGAGGUGCGAAAGCGUGGGGAGCAAACAGG
rnacentral:rRNA from 1 species